UAUUGCACAAUGGGGGAGACCCUGAUGCAGCGACCCCGCGUGAAGGAUGAAGUAUUUCGGUAUGUAAACUUCUAUCAGCAGGGAAGAAAAUGACGGUACCGGACUAAGAAGCCCCGGCUAACUACGUUCCAGCAGCCGCGGUAAUACGUAGGGGGCAAGCGUUAUCCGGAUUUACUGGGUGUAAAGGGAGCGUAGGCGGCCUGGCAAGCCUGAUGUGAAAUACCGGGGCCCAACCCCGGGGCUGCAUUGGGAACUGCCAGGCUGGAGUGCCGGAGAGGCAGGCGGAAUUCCUAGUGUAGCGGUGAAAUGCGUAGAUAUUAGGAGGAACACCAGUGGCGAAGGCGGCCUGCUGGACGGUGACUGACGCUGAGGCUCGAAAGCGUGGGGAGCAAACAGG
rnacentral:rRNA from 1 species